rnacentral:rRNA from 1 species
GAUGAACGCUAGCGGCAGGCUUAAUACAUGCAAGUCGAGGGGCAGCACGGGUAGCAAUACCUGGUGGCGACCGGCGCACGGGUGCGUAACACGUAUACAAUCUACCUUUAACAGGGGGAUAGCCUUUCGAAAGAGAGAUUAAUACCCCAUAACACAUGAAAUAAGCAUUAUUUUAUGUUAAAAGACUCCGGCGGUUAAAGAUGAGUAUGCGUCUGAUUAGCUAGUUGGUGAGGUAACGGCUCACCAAGGCAACGAUCAGUAGGGGAUCUGAGA